AACGAACGCUGGCGGCAUGCUUAACACAUGCAAGUCGAACGCACAUUUAUGUGAGUGGCAGACGGGUGAGGAACGCGUGGGAACGUACCCUAAAGUUCGGAAUAACUAUUGGAAACGAUAGCUAAUACCGGAUGUGACCGAGAGGUUAAAGGUUUACCGCUUUAGGAGCGGCCCGCGUUAGAUUAGCUAGUUGGUGGGGUAAAGGCCUACCAAGGCGACGAUCAGUAGCCGACCUGAGAGGGUGAUCGGCCACACUGGAACUGAGACACGGUCCAGACUCCUACGGGAGGCAGCAGUGGGGAAUAUUGCACAAUGGGCGAAAGCCUGAUGCAGCAACGCCGCGUGAGCGAUGAAGGUCUUCGGAUCGGAAAGCUCUGUCCUCAAGGAAGAUAAUGACGGUACUUGAGGAGGAAGCCCCGGCUAACUACGUGCCAGCAGCCGCAGUAA
rnacentral:rRNA from 1 species